GGUGCUGUAGGCAAAUGGUUUAAGCCGUCACUCUUUCAAAGUGAAAAUUGCGGGUUCAAAUCCCGUCAGCACUU
rnacentral:tRNA from 1 species